CACUGUCACUGACCCAGCUGGCGGGGCACACGCUGGAGCGAAACAUAGUCUAUCGAUUCCAGCCAUGGGCUGUUAGCACUGGGCCUGAUGUCCAGCCGUGUAGAUUUGGUGGGAGGGAGCUUGAGGCACUGGUAACUUAUAAGCCAGAAAGAGAAACAGAGGCAGUGUUUGGUUCUUGUUCCUAUUUUUCCAGGACAACAGAGUGAUCUAUUUCACCUCCUCUUUGGUGCUGAAAGAACCACGCACUUCUGUUUCAGGUCCUCUACCGACAUGUUUGUGCUGAUGUCUCCCUUGGUCUUCAGAGUUUAACCUGUGGGAGUUGUGGCUGGAGUGAUCUGUGAUAUUUAAUUUUACAUGUUAUUAUCCCCGCUUUAUUCUGCACUUCAGGUGAUCACACUUAUUUUGUUCUAAAUGGUCUGCUGCUCUUCUCCCACAGUCCCACACCAUCUCCUGGACCCACUCCAAGCUGUUUUCAGAAGCACGUCCUACUCAAUCAGAAACUCAAAAGUCCGGAGUGUGAUCCCGCUCUACCCCCGACUCUCCUCCCUGCAGCACCGAGAAGGACCAUCGCAAGGGUGAGGCACAUGGGAAUACAAAGAACCAGUAUGGAAGCGCUGGACAUGUCAUUUGUGACUCAUUCUUUUAAUUCACCGUGCUAAUCAACUGAACCGCCACAGCCUCCCAAGGUGAGAAGCCCCACAAAGGGAGAGAGGUACCGAAGGUCACACAGCCACGGGGGCUGCCCCAUCCACGGCUUCAUACGCCAUCUCAAACAAAGAUGUGGAAACUGCAUAUCCAGCUAAACCCACAGGCCAAGGGGGCUUUGUCUGUCUUUCCACAGACCCCUGCCCUCUCUGUACAGUCCUCCCGUGCCCUCAUGAGCACCUCCUGGUGGGGAGGAGGCCUCUACCGCUUUCCCGCAGAAGCUGGAGCUGUGA
rnacentral:lncRNA from 1 species